CGCCGGCAAGACGCCUCUCCGGUUACCCGCGCCUCGGAAAAAAGGGGCGGUUGGUGGGCCCUCCAUUGUCCAGGAUUAAGGGAGCCAUGAGGUAAGGGGAUCUAGGUGCUCAAGGUGUUUCCCUGAGAACUUAGGAAGGUGGGUCGCGGGGAGUCGGAGGACCCAGGGCGGUGUGUCCCGGGCCUGCGCCCCCAGGCCCGGGGGAGUAGGGUGGUCCGAGGCUGGGAGGCGGGCCGGGCCGGGCUGGAGUGGGGAGGCGGGUGCGGGAGUCCGGCCUGGAGGGCUGAGGAGAGGGAGGGUCCCCGGGGCCCGGAGUAGCGCCCGCCGUCUGGACUGAGGCGGCCGGGACGUGCCCUGUAAAUGCACGCGCGAAGCCCAGGUGAGCGGCCGCCGCAGCCCCACGGUUCCUUCUCGCGGGGAGCUGGCGCGCCGUGGUGGAGGUCUCUGCCGUGAGCUGAAAUGACUCUGUUUUCAGGGGUGACCGAGGCCGUGGUCGCGGUGGGCGCUUUGGUUCCAGAGGGGGACCCGGAGGAGGGUGAGUGCCCGCCUGGACAUCCCCGCACUUGCCAGUGCCUGUCGUCGGGGUGGGGGUUGGAGGUGGCCCCGGCUGCCCCCCUGCUGGAGGCAGACCCCUUCUCAGAACCUGCCCGUGCGGGUGCCCUCUGCCUGAUUUCUGAUUGGACUGUUUUUCUUGUUUUAGGUUCAGGCCCUUCGUGCCACAUAUCCCAUUCGAUUUCUAUUUGGUGAGUUCUUGAGUUAAUAUCAGUUUCCUGGUCAUUGUCACUUAUACAUGUAGGUGGUUGGAGUAGGGAUUCGUGAAUGAUUUGGGGUUUUAAAGAUUUUUACUUAUGUGUUUAUUUACUUUUGGCACCUUAAGGCCUCAAGCCUACCAAGCAAACUCUCGACUCUGAGCCCCUGAUUUUAUUACAAUUAAUACAGAUUAGUAGUACAUAUAAAUGGUUCCGUGUGAUACUUCAAUACAUGUAUACAGCAUGCACUGAUGAAAUCCAGCCUUCUUUGUCCACUCUGCCCCUCUGUAGAGUUGGAGUUUUGAGUCAACUGUGUCAUUUUACGUACCAAAACAAUGUAAGCAAAGCCACUUGCAGUGGUGCAUACCUAUAAACCCAGCUACUAAGGAGCCUGAGGUAGUAGGAUUCAAAAUUUGAGGCCAGCCUUGGCAACUUAGUGACACCCUGUUUUAAAAUAGAGUUCUGGGGAUGCAGUUCAAUGGUAGAGUGCCAGUGGUUUCAAUCCCCUGUACUAAAAAAAAAAUGUAAGCAGGGUAAGGAAGAUGAUUUCUUGCCUACAUAGUUGAAAUCCGUCCUAAACAAUUGUAUCUCUGGCUUAGUGUUUUUUUUUUUGUUUUGUUUUUUUGUUUUUUUAAUACAAAGGUAGUGAGAGCUUAAAUUAUGGCUCUUCUAUUCUUGUUUGAACAUGUUGAUUGAAAACAAGUAGAAUUAUCUGCUUUUAAUUUUUUUUCUAUCAUAACAGCAAAAAAUAUCUGUUGUAUCUUAUUUUUGGUAAAAGGUAUGUUGUUUGUUUUUCUCUUAGUGUGAAAUGGCCUUCCCUCGAGUCAAGCCAGCACCUGAUGAAACUUCCUUCAGUGAAGCCUUGCUGAAGAGGAAUCAGGACCUUGCUCCCAAUUCUGCUGAACAGGUGUGUUCUUUUGGCUUUCUUUCUGAGAUUUCACUAAAAACAGAAAAGUGACUAUUAUAGUUAAGAAGAGUGUUAUGUGGGCUGAUGGUGUAGCUCAGUGGUAGAGCACUUAACCUAGCAUGUGUGAGGCUCUGGGUUUGAUCACCAGCAAGAACCUAAACUCCACAGAAGGUUUACUUGUCCUCUAUAUAGAGAGUUAAAGUGCUAGGUGAAUAUAUGAGUGGUUAUGUGGCAUCAUAUUUUCAUUGGGGAAUCUAUUAUGGAUUAAAUAGUUGUUCUUUUCUGAUAUAUUCAAGGCCAGAAGGGGGAAGUGUUUUUAGACCCCUAUUGCAUGAGUUUGUAUAGAAGAGAUUAGGGAAAAAUGUUCCCCUAACCUCAAGUAACUCUUGAGAAGUUACUUGUGAUUUUUGACUUUAGGGUAUUUUUGUUUUGUGAUGUUUUUUAGGCCUCAAUCCUUUCUCUGGUGACAAAAAUAAAUAAUGUGAUCGACAAUUUGAUUGUGGCUCCAGGGACAUUUGAAGUGGUGAGUUGAUGGCUUAGUUCUAAGAUAGGGCAGCCUUGUUAAGAGGAAUUUUCAUUGGCUUCUGUCUCUUUACCUGUUCCACAUUUAACUUUAAAUGGAAAAGUAUAGACUUCUGAAAUUUCCCUGCAAUACUGUUGUUGGAGGCAAGAUUUUUAUCAUUAUUAUCAGCUAUCAUUAUUAUCUGUAGCCACGUUGUAUAGCCAUGCUUUCAUGCUUUUGAGAUAUGAAUUUAUCACUGCUGCAUUUAAAUGUGGGAAAUAAGAAGUUGUGUCUUAAGAGUUCUGAGAGAAGGGCUGGGGAUGUGGCUCAAGCGGUAGCACACUCGCCUCGCAUGCGUGCGGCCCGGAUUUGAUUCUCAGCACCACAUACAAAGGUGUUGUGUCCGCCGAAAACUAAUAAAUAUAUAUUAAAAAAAAAAAAAAAAAAAAGAGUUCUGAGAGCAGCCCGUCACCCGCCUAUAAUCCCAGCGGCUUGGGAGGCUGAGACAGGAGAAUCUCAAGUUCAAAGCCACCCUCAGCAACUGCAAGGCACUAAGCAACUCAGUGAGACCCUGUCUCUAAAUAAAAGAGAGAUCUGAGAGGAGCUUGGCACCUUUUUUCUUCUAAUUUUUUCCCCCUGAAAUCCUUUUUCCAAUAGCAAAUUGAAGAAGUCCGACAGGUAGGAUCAUAUAAAAAGGGAACAAUGACUACAGGACACAACGUAGCUGACCUGGUGGUAAUACUAAAGAUUCUGCCAACAUGUGAGUAUACCUCUUUUUCUCUCUUUUCUGGUGCUAGGUGUCAAACCCAGGCCCCUGAGCUUGGCAGGCGAGUGCUCUACUGCUGGGCUACAUCCCUUAGCCCCCAGUUCAUCUUUCUGACCGAGGAAAACAAUGUAAUAGUUUGAUUUGGGGCCUAGGGAUUUUUAAAGGAGAGAGAGAGAGAGAGAUAGAGAGAUGUGUGUGUGUGUGGAACAUAAAUAGGAAAUUUAAUUUUUUAAGUUACUGGAUUAUAAGGGACUGUUAGGUCAGCUUAUUGUCACUGUGAUGAAAAUACUUGAUAAGAACAACUUAGUGGAGGAAAAGUGUGAGGCUUUCAGUUUCAGAGAUUUGAGUCUAUGGUUGGCCUAUUCCAUUGUUCUGGCCUGAGGUGAGGCCAAAUAUGAUGGAAGGGUAUGGGAGGAAAAAGCUAUUAGCCCAUGGCUGCUGGGAAGCAGAGACAGCAGUGAGGGACAAGAUAAAGUCCAAAGCAGAUCCUCAGUGACCUACUUCCUCUAGCCAUGCCUCACAUACCUAGUUAUCACUCAGAAGUCCAUUUAGAUUAUAAUCCAUCAAAUGAAUUAGUCUACUGACAAAGCUUCAGCUCUCAUAAUCCAAUCGUUCCACCUCUCACCAUUCUUGCAUUGCCUAACACAUGAGCUUUUUGGGAGAUACCUCAUAUCCAAACCAUAAAAAGACAGACUCUGUAAUGUGUGUCUGAAAGAAUGUAUGCCCAGUACUCUGGGACUGUGUUUCUCUCUUGGAUAUUUUGCUCCUAAGGGAAUUAUUAGCACUGCCUAGAGAUGUUUUUGGUUGUCACAGCUAAGGGAUACUCCUGGCAUCAAAAGGGGCUAAAGGCUGGGAAUGGUGCUAAACAUCCUACAGUGCACAGGAUUAACCAAUCCAGAUAUUAUAAGUGCCACUGACCUGAAAAACUCAGCUUUAGCUCAGUGGCAGAGUACCUGCCUAGCACUUGUGAGGCACUGGGUUUGAUCCUUAGCAUUGCGUAGAAAAAUAAACAAAAAUAGAUAAAUGCAUGGCAUGCUGUCCAUCUACCACUACAAAAGAAAAAAAAAAUUUAAGUUAUUAAAAAAAUCUAACGAUUUUAGUAUGGAAAAAAGAUGUGAGUAUAGGAAGUGUCCUAUUCCUGAACCUUCCAGUUUCUGUGUCUAGGACUUAGCUUUCCUUUGUAAAAGUAUUCUGUUACACUUGUUCCACACUUGAAUGUGGGGCAGAAAUUAUGGUACUAAGUAUCUCAGAGAUAUAUAGGAAGUCUACAUAAAUAGAUGAUUUAUAAUGGUAUUUUUUCUCCCUCAAUCUAGUGGAAGCUGUUGCUGCCCUGGGGAACAAAGUCGUGGAAAGUUUAAGAGCACAGGAUCCAUCUGAAGGUUUGAAUUUAUUGCUUAAUAUAUAUUGAGUGGCAGUAGGAGCCAGGUCCUGUAAUCAUACUUUCAACAAAAUUAGGUCAGACUAGAUUGAGUAAAUGCAGUUUCAUGUUGUAGGAGUUUUUGGAAGGGGUUUGAAAUUCCAUUUUAUCUCCUUUCUAAAGCUCUGUAUUUUGAAUCCUUAGUCUGAACUCUGGUUUUUAAAUGCCCACCUGUUUCCCACAGGAAUGAUUUAACUUUGAUCAUCUGAUGAAAAUGUGAAUUACAACUUUUGAUUAUUUUGUUCUUUUAGUUUUGACCAUGCUGACCAAUGAAACUGGUUUUGAAAUCAGUUCUUCUGAUGCUACAGUGAAGAUUCUCAUUACGACAGUGCCACCCAAUCUCCGAAAACUGGACCCGGAACUCCACUGUUAGUCCUUUUUUCCAUUGCUGAAAAGUGUGGGGGAAAUAAAAUGCAUGGUAUCUUUGCUGAGUUUUUUUAUUUCAUAGGAAGCUUUCUGGAAAUUGAAGGACUUAAGUUUACCCUGUACUUUGGAAAUAACUUUACAAGCUUCCUAGUGAAAUUUUCAAAGAUAGGAUAGCCAGGAAGAAAAUUUGGAACAAUUAAAAAGGAUGGUGGAAAUAUUUGUGAAGAAAGGAGGAUAGAUUUUUGGAGAAUAUCAGAUCUUGCAUGCUUCUAGAUUUAGUUUGGAAUAGGUGUAAUAAUUUUGGAAUAAGUGACUUGCUGAUCUGAGGAACAUGAGAUGGUUUAACAAAAUUGUUAAAAAUUAGCUUGCUUCUCCUUCUAAGUUUCUGAACCAUGGUGGUGGCAGGACUGGAUUGCUUGCUUAAUACCAGGAUUGUUUCACGUUGGUCUGUCAUGCUUUAUCUAGUGGAUAUCAAGGUGUUGCAGAGUGCUUUAGCAGCCAUCCGACAUGCCCGCUGGUUCGAGGAAAAUGCUUCUCAGUCCACGUGAGUCGGUCUCUGGUCAUUUUCAGAUAACCUUUCUAACUGAAUAGCAGGAUUUCCCCAUACUUCCUCUGAUAGAACUGUUUUGGCCAUGAUCUGUUGGAUUUUCAUUUUUACUUUAAGCAAAUUAAGAUUGAAAGAAGAGCACAUGCGGUUUUAUAAAUAGUAUAGUCAGCUUCAACUCUACCUCAGGUGUGGAAAUGUGAUCUUAUUACCUUUUUUUGUGGGGUGGGCUACCAGGGAUUGAAUUCAGGGGCAUUUGAUACUAAGCCACAUCCCCAGCCCUAUUUUAUAUUUUAUUUAGAGACAGGGUCUCACAGAGUUGCUUAGUACCUCGCUUUUUCUGAGGCUGGCUUUGAACUCUAGAUCCUCCUGUCUCAGCCUCCAGAGUUAAUGGGAUUACAGGCGUGCACCAUUUUGCCCAGCAGUGAUGUUAACUACUUUUAAUCCUUGGAUCUCUUUUACAUUCAGAGUUAAAGUUCUCAUCAGACUGCUCAAGGACUUAAGGAUUCGUUUUCCUGGCUUUGAGCCCCUCACACCCUGGAUCCUUGACCUACUUGUAAGUAAACAAGGACAAUAGGAAUUCCUACGCAUUCAUAUUGGUAGUACUUACUGUGAAACCUACCAGAAUCUGAAAUUCAGUAAAGCUUAAAAAGAAAUUCAGUGGACAGGCGAUCUAGUAGAUUCAAAGUUUAUUAUUUCAUUGGGUUCUGGGAGUAUUUGAUUAAAUGAGUAGUUACUGAGUUACAGUGCCCCUUUUGUUUUUAUUACUGUUAUUUCAUUAUUGUGAUACUGGAAAGAAAUGAACAAAUGAGGACCAAUUUCAGAAUUUCUUCUGGAUGUGUUUUGGCUAGACUUUAAUGACUUAUUUUCCUUGUGAUGAUUUAUUCAAGUUUAAAUUUGCUUACCAGACUUACUCUUUUCUAGGGGCACUAUGCUGUGAUGAAUAACCCCACCAGACAGCCUUUGGCCCUAAAUGUGGCAUACAGGUACCACAUAUUUCUUUUCAGUUUGGGAUUGGUUAUAAGGUGGUAGUGGGGGUGUGUUAAUACUUCCCUAUGUUUCAGGCGUUGCUUGCAGAUUCUGGCUGCAGGACUGUUCCUUCCAGGAUCAGUGGGUAUCACUGACCCCUGUGAAAGUGGCAACUUCAGAGUACAUACGGUCAUGACCCUGGAACAGCAGGUAUUGGGUCAGUUAUGAAGUGGUCUAUUCUGAGAGGACCUAGGGAACAUGAUCUUUAGGGAUCAGGGUAUCUGGGGAUUUUCAAAGACUGUGGUCCUAAGAUUAAAAAGUUAUAUGCAUCUGUUUUCACAAGGGUGUGAGAGAAAGUACUGAUUUUCUUUGCUAAUUUACCCUCGCUUUGCUCUUCCUCAGGAUAUGGUCUGCUACACAGCUCAGACUCUGGUUCGAAUCCUCUCACACGGUGGCUUUAGGAAGAUCCUUGGCCAGGAGGGUGAUGCCAGCUGUGAGUACUGUGUGUGUGGGUCAGGGGUUUCUUCUGGUGCUCAGCAGGCUUUGUGUGGUGCUGUGACAUAACCCUGGGGCACUCCAAGGAGUUACGUCCCCAGCCCUUUCUUUUGAGACAGUCUUGCUGAAAUUGCAGGGGGUUAGCCAGUGCAUCCAUCUUACUCAGAUGACUUCAUGUUUCUGCUUCGUUCUGCUUGUUUGCUGGGGUAUUUGUUUGAAAGCACUUAUUUUUUUUAUUCUAGAUCUUGCUUCUGAAAUAUCUACCUGGGAUGGAGUGAUAGUGACACCUUCAGAAAAGGCUUACGAGAAGCCACCUGAGAAGAAGGAAGGAGAGGAAGAGGAGGAGAAUACAGAAGAACCACCUCAAGGAGAGGAAGAGGAAAGCAUGGAAACUCAAGAGUGAUCUUCCUUCCCUUCAGUCCCGUUCCUACUCAAGGGGAAGACCAGAUCCUAAGCUAUCUGCUACUGGGCUUUGUAUGGUGCAUUUCUGUGGAAUAGAGGAGACAUCAGGAAAGAAACUCUAUAGAAAGAUUUGUCAUUCCAUUGGUUUUGAUACUGGCCUAGCAGCCCAAAAUCUCCUGUUUAUAAAUCUAUGCCAUCCAUCUAUAAUGAAGCAGGAUACCAACAUUUCUUCCUUAUACUCCCAAAUCCCAACUCCUAAACACCCCACUCAACCAUUACUCUGUUGUUGAAAUGUGAACUGUUAGGUGUUUGAACUUUUUUUUUUUUCUAAGAAAAACGAUUAAAGUACUUCCUAGUAGGGCUCUUGGUUUUGUUUUUCCUUAGUAGGUGGUGGCCUCUUUUAUUUACUCUUUUUCAUUGGAAGUGAUACUGAGUCAUAAACACCAAGAUCGCAACUUGAAACAUCAGUAAAUGAGAAUACUGUUUAAGCAUUUAUUGAAUCAAAUGGUUCUAGCAGUACUGCUGUUGUAUUCAAGCCAGUGCAAUCAACAGAAGAGGGUGGACAGAGUUCAUUCAUCUUCUCUUUGUAAAUCCUCGUGUAAACAAAAGGAAAAAGAGAAGUCACAGGUAGAGGACAUGUUGCCUGGGUCCACUAUAACCAGACAUGUAACAAACGAAGCUCCAGCCUGAUUGGCGAGGCCUGAAAAAGAUGGGCGUUAACUAUGUAGUUAAGAAAAAAAACCUCAUUUCGUUCUUGGAAGGGAGCAAGAGCUGUAACGAAAGUUCCUCUGGGAACUUGAGUCUACUGCACGCAGGUUUCUUGGGUUCCCACGAAGUGAGAAAGUGCUUUAAAUAAACCGUUUAGGUGUCCCAAAGUCUGCAGAAAUUGUUCCCUGAAUCUUCUCGUGUGUUGAAACAAGGCAGCGGGGUAACAACUAUUUGUGCUGCUCAGUCCCCUGCCAUCUUGUUACUUGCUUGGGGAACCAGGGGGAUAAACUCCCGAGUCCAGCAUUGCCCUCCUGCGGGCUGUUUCCUUGGCAACGCUGUGGUUUAGCCGCCUCAGCCGCUCCUACAGGACACAGGAAGAGGUGGAACCUAGUGACUGCCCCUGUGAAAGGCUUUGGGGUUCAGCCAGCCAGGUGCUGGAAACACCUGAGGACGGUCCUGCGUCAAAGUUCACGUAGGAUGUCAAUGGCUGCAAGUGGAUAUUGAGCACUGAGUCUUACUGACGCUAGUUGACCACUCCCUUCCCCCCAAUUUUUAAAAAGUCGUGACUCAUUGUGUUGAGGACUUGAAGCAGGGACUUCGUUUACCUGGGCAUUCUGUAGGAUGUUGUUGACCAGAACAACCCGUCGCCGGGCGUUGAGCAGCUUCUUAACGUAGGGGUCGAGAUCCAAGGCCACCUUCUGGUCCUCGUUGAUGCGGCACAAUUCUGGGGACGGAAGAGCAACAGACGUCUGGCAGCUCACCUCCUGCUCUUAGGAAGGCGGAAUCGUCCCGUCCUUCCCCCACUUCCUUUCACUCCCUGUCCCAAGGGCCCCGACGUCCUGGGGCCAAGGGGCAGAGACCCGGCCGGGCACGGGGAACCGAAGGUCCUGCCUGGGUCCGCGGGCCGCCCACUCACCCGCGGCGAGGUUGUCGAUCUGCUCGCGGAGCUCCACCUGGCUCUCCCUGCAAAGGCCGCAAGGCCGCACGGUCAGCGCGCCCGCCGCCCACGUUUCCCCUGUACCGGG
rnacentral:lncRNA from 1 species